GGUUAUCUAGUUUAAGUGAAAAUAUUUGUUUUGAAAACAAAAAAUAAGGAGUGGUCCUCCUUUAUAACUU
rnacentral:tRNA from 1 species